UACGAAGGGUGCAAGCGUUACUCGGAAUUACUGGGCGUAAAGGGUGCGUAGGUGGUUGUUUAAGUCUGUUGUGAAAGCCCCGGGCUCAACCUGGGAAUGGCAAUGGAUACUGGACAGCUAGAGUGCGGUAGAGGGUAGUGGAAUUCCCGGUGUAGCGGUGAAAUGCGGUAGAGAUCGGGAGGAACACCAGUGGCGAAGGCGGCUACCUGGACCAGCACUGACACUGAGGCACGGAAAGCGUGGGGAGCAAACAGG
rnacentral:rRNA from 1 species